rnacentral:lncRNA from 1 species
UUGGAAUUAUUUGGGAUAAUUUGGGAUUAUUUGGGAUAAUUUGGGAUAAUUUGGGAUUCGGGGCCAGGCAGAGCCAGAGCUGCGUGUCCCUGUCCCUGUCCGUGUCCGUGUCCCUGUCCCUGUCCCUGUCCCUGUCCCUGCUCCGGGUGUCCUCUGGAUUUGGCUGGUUUGGAAUUCCCAGGAAUUCCUGGGAUCGGCCGCUCCGUGUCCAUCCGGCUCCUGAUGGGGACAUCCCGGUGUGGGGACAUCUGGGAAUGGGGACAUCCUGGAUUUGGGGACAUCCCGGAUUUGGGGACAUCUUGGAUUUGGGACAUCCUGGAUUUGGGAAUCCCAGAUUUGAGGACAUCCCAGAUUUGGGGACAUCCCAGAUUUGGGGACAUCCCGGAUUGGGGACAUCCCAGAUUUGGGGAUAUCCUGGAUUGGGGACAUCCCGGAUUUGGGACAUUCUGGAUUUGGGGACAUCCCAGAUUGGGGACAUCCCAGAUUUGGGACCUCCUGGGUCAGGGCAUUCCGGUGCUGAAGCAUCCCAUGGUCGGGGCAUUCCAGGAUUGGAUCAUUCCAAUGUCGGAGCAUCUGAUGGAAUGUUCUGGUGUCGGAACGUUCCGGUGCUGGAUCCCUCUGACCUCGGAGCAUCCCCAGGGUGGAACAUUCCGGAAUGGGAACAUCCUGCUGCUCCCGGUGCUGGAGCGUUCCCGUAUCCGAGCAGCCCCGCCUGGGAUUUUCCUGGUGUUGGAGCCUCCUGCUGUGGGAUCAUCCCAGGAUCAGAGCGUCCCCACGGCGGAACAUUCCGGAACAUUCUGGUAUCGGAGCUUCCUGGUGCCGGAGCCUCCUGGUCCCAGAGCGACCCAGUCCUGGAUCAGUGUUGGAUCAUCCCAGUCCUGGAUCAUCCCAGUUCUGGAUCAUCCCAGUGCUGGAUCAUCCCAGUCCUGGAUCAUCCCAGUGCCAGAGCGUCCCAAUGCUGGAUCAUCCCAGUGCUGGAGCAUCCCGGUGUUGGAUCACCCCGGUGUUGGAUCACCCCGGUGUUGGAUCAUCCAGGUGUUGGAUCAUCCAGGUGUUGGAUCAUCCUGGUGUUGGAUCAUCCCAGUCCUGGAUCAUCCCAGUACUGGAUCAUCCCAGUGUUGGAUCAUCCCAGUCCUGGAUCAUCCCAGUCCUGGAUCAGGGUUGGAUCAUCCCAGUGCCGCAGCAUCCCAGAGUUGGUGACAGUGAUGGAACAUCCCAGUGCCAGUUUAUCCCAGUGCCAGUUUAUCCCAGUGCCAGUCGAUCCCAGUCCUGCCCCAUCCCGGUCCCAGUCUAUCCCAGUAUCAGCCCAAUCCCAGUCCCAGUUUAUCCCAUUCCCAGCCCAUCCCAGUGCCGGCCCAUCCUGAGGGGAAACUGAGGCAGCUUGGGGGCGGAGCGGGUGGCAGUGGCAGUGUUGGGGUCCCGCUGCGCCCCCUGGAGGAUCGCGGGGGGGCCGCGUCCCCCCUUUGGGACCCCCAGGGACCCCCGUGGAACCCC